GGCCAGGCUGCUCUCUACCAGUUCAUCAUCGAAUUUCUUCCUUUUGAUGAACCUGUGGAAGGUCCUGCAGGGUUAACUACUGGUACCACACCCACGCACGGCUUCCAAGGUGCAGGCUCCCCUUGGGAACUAACUGCCUUCACUUUCCAGCAGUGUCUGGCUCAGUGGACAUGGAAAAGCCAAGUUCUAGUCCUCUGAGGUAACAGGCAACCUUUCAACAGAGAUGGAACCCCUCACUCUCCAUCCUCGGUGCCAUCCGGACACACCGGCAGAGGAGGUUUUUGGCCGCUUGACCCAAGGUAGAGUUAUUUGGGGAGAAGCUCAACUGAGAAAGUGCCUCCAUCAGAGUGGCCUUGGGCAGGUUCCUGCUUUGAGUUCCUGCCCGACUUCCCCUGAGGAUGGACCUGCGAUCCAAAUAAAUAAAUAAAUUAUCCACCCCAA
rnacentral:lncRNA from 1 species